UCAAAGGCUUUUUUGAGGGUUUGAAAAAAGCCAUCAAUUUUAUAUUUGACCAAUUG
rfam:Microscilla marina ATCC 23134 1099589004133, whole genome shotgun sequence.